rnacentral:rRNA from 1 species
GACGAACGCUGGCGGCGUGCUUAACACAUGCAAGUCGAACGGAAAGGCCCUGCUUGCAGGGUACUCGAGUGGCGAACGGGUGAGUAACACGUGGGUGAUCUGCCCUGCACUUCGGGAUAAGCCUGGGAAACCGGGUCUAAUACCGGAUAGGAGCCAUUUUUAGUGUGAUGGUUGGAAAGUUUUUUCGGUGUAGGAUGAGCUCGCGGCCUAUCAGCUUGUUGGUGGGGUAAUGGCCUACCAAGGCGGCGACGGGUAGCCGGCCUGAGAGGGUGGACGGCCACAUUGGGACUGAGAUACGGCCCAGACUCCUACGGGAGGCAGCAGUGGGGAAUAUUGCACAAUGGGCGCAAGCCUGAUGCAGCGACGCCGCGUGGGGGAUGACGGCCUUCGGGUUGUAAACUCCUUUCGCUAGGGACGAAGCUUUUGUGACGGUACCUAGAUAAGAAGCACCGGCUAACUACGUG